CCCGCACAAGCAGCGGAGCGUGUGGUUUAAUUCGAUGUUACACGAAGAACCUUACCAGGGUUUGACAUGCAAGUGGUAGGAAACCGAAAGGUGACCGACCCUUCGGGGAGCUUGCACAGGUGCUGCAUGGCUGUCGUCAGCUCGUGUCGUGAGAUGUUCGGUUAAGUCCGCUAACGAGCGCAACCCUCGCUGUGUGUUAUAUGUGUCACACGGGACUGCCGGUCUUAAGCCGGAGGAAGGUGGGGAUGAUGUCAAGUCAGCAUGGCCUUUAUAUCCUGGGCUACACACACGCUACAAUGGCCAACACAAUAGGUUGCUAAGCCGCGAGGUGGCGCCAAUCCAUAAAGUUGGUCUCAGUUCAGAUUGUAGGCUGCAACCCGCCUGCAUGAAGAUGGAGUUGCUAGUAAUCGCAGGUCAGCAUACUGCGGUCGAAUACGUUCCCGGGCCUU
rnacentral:rRNA from 1 species